ACCCACAAAGCUUUAUGAAGCAAUAAGAAGCUUGGUUAGCAUUUUUAGAGUCAAAUAUGACUAGAUCUCGUGUGUAUGAUUUGGUAUAAGAACUAGAAACGCCACCGGAUCCCACAAGCUAAAGUAGUGUUAAUUUGUUUAGAAGCUCCAAAACUGAAAACUCAUAGGACUUUGGCCACACCCACAAAGCUUUGAGAAGCAAUAAGAAGCU
rnacentral:lncRNA from 1 species